GCACUACUGAGGAGUCCCACAAUAGGACGAAACGGUCGUUCAGUGC
rfam:Schistosoma margrebowiei strain Zambia genome assembly, scaffold: SMRZ_contig0000558